UGACCUCGGAUCAGGUAGGGAUACCCGCUGAACUUAAGCAUAUCAAUAAGCGGAGGAAAAGAAACCAACAGGGAUUGCCCUAGUAACGGCGAGUGAAGCGGCAACAGCUCAAAUUUGAAAGCUGGCCUUCGGGUCCGCAUUGUAAUUUGUAGAGGAUGCUUUGGGGAGGCCGCCUGUCUAAGUUCCUUGGAACAGGACGUCAUAGAGGGUGAGAAUCCCGUAUGUGACAGGAAAUGGCACCCUAUGUAAAGCUCCUUCGACGAGUCGAGUUGUUUGGGAAUGCAGCUCUAAAUGGGAGGUAAAUUUCUUCUAAAGCUAAAUAUUGGCGAGAGACCGAUAGCGCACAAGUAGAGUGAUCGAAAGAUGAAAAGCACUUUGGAAAGAGAGUUAAAAAGCACGUGAAAUUGUUGAAAGGGAAGCGCUUGCAAUCAGACUUGUCUAAACUGUUCGGCCGGUCUUCUGACCGGUUUACUCAGUUUGGACAGGCCAGCAUCAGUUUCGGCGGCCGGAUAAAGGCUCUGGGAAUGUGGCCCCCACUUCGGUGGGGGUGUUAUAGCCCAGUGUGUAAUACGGCCAGCCGGGACUGAGGUCCGCGCUCGGCUAGAUGCUGCGUAAUGC
rnacentral:rRNA from 1 species